ACUCAGGAACACUGAGGGACACGGGUGGGUCCCCACAGGAAUCUCCCGUCAGCCUUGCUGCUGGCUCCGCCCCCUGCAGGGUAGGGUGCUGCCCCGGAGCACUCUGUGUUCCAGAAAACCCCAAAAUAACCCAACUUUGCUGUCCAGCUGCUAUUUCCGUCCAUCUUGUUUAAUUAUUCAAACCCAAGUUGGGGAGUGAACUAUAAAAAGCUCUCCUUCUUGGGGACCCAGGAGAGCUGGGAGGCUCGCCAGGUUGCGAUAAGAGCAGAGCACGUGGUUUGGAUGAGGUCACUGGGUCCGGCCUCCUGCCUGAAAGUUCCAUCUGUUUGCCUGCUUCCUCUGCUAGAAGGCCGAUUCCAGGCCUCCCUCCCCGAGCCUCCGAGCCUCCCCAAGCCCUCAUCCCUGCACCCCUCCCAGCCUGUCCUGCCUGGGAGCUGGGCCCCACCCGCCUUCCUUUACUCUGCAAGCGUUUCCCCUCAGACAACCCUUUGCUGACUGCUUCCUACUCCUGGUUCUUAUCCCACAUAUCCUAUUAUCAGACCCCAGCGUCUGAGACUGGGGAGGGGGGCAGGAAGUGCAGGUAAAGAGGUCAAGCCAGGUGGACACAGGAAGAGGGACACCGUGCCCUUGGAGGGCACUCUGUCAGUGGGGGGCUGGGGGGGGCUUUUCUGGGUGAGGCAGUUUCCUGACUGUCACAGGUGCUAAGCCUCUUCAAGGGCUUCUCUUGGGGACUCUGAUAUUGUGGCUGAAGGGACAGAGGGAAGGCAGCAGGAAGGAGUUUGUUUUGGGGGGCCUAAUCCUCUUCCGGUUGGCCGCAAGUUCAGCGUCAGUUCCAGUGAACCUGCAGUCUAGGGCCGGGGAAUGGGGAAGCUGGGUACCCCUGGGGACCUGUUCUGUGACCCCCUCCCAGCACAGGCCUUUCCUAGGAAGGUGAUAUCGAGGGGUGUGGCCAUGGUUACCAUGGCAACGCUGGGAGCGAGGGGAUUGGUGCAGGUGAUGGGUUGCUCAGUCUGAGCAGGAGGGGCCGGGCCACCCCCCACGAUGGACCGGAGGAGGCGGGCUUUGAGCCCCAGGAGAGGCAGAGACCACAGGGGCAGACCCAGAGACCCAGGGCAGAAUUGGGGGUGGGAGGGACGUCCAGUGUGGGAGGGGAAGCCUCAGGCUGGCAGAAGCUGGGGCAGGACUUUCCAAGAGUCAGCGUGGGACCUCAGUGUUCACGGAGGACCCUGGGUUUUACAUUGGGCCUAUUUUGGGGCUUGUUCCCACACACUCCCUGGCAGCAGCUCCCGUGAAGUCCAGGCUGCCCGCCCGCCCCGCCCCUGCCACGGCUCCACUAGAGCUCCAGGGGAGGGUGCUGAGGUGGGGGAAGAGGCCGGCUGUUGCUAAGCAACCAGAGGCUGUGUACCUGGAGGGCAGGGGAGGGAGCCCUGGCAGGGAUUGUAGGGGCGGGGGAGGCAGGGAGGCGGUGAAAGGGCCGGGUGGACAAGGGUCAGGCCCCCUCCCCCAUCCCCCUCGGGCCAGCUGUGGAGGAGGGGUGUACUUGUCACCCAGUAAGUGUGUUGACGAACCUGUAAGUGUGUGGCGCUUCUCCAGGACGCCGUGAGCACACAGCGCCCGUGGGGCUAGCUCUGAGGACAGGCAGGGGACGGGAGGCGCAGGGGAGCAAGGACAGGGGGCAGCAGGAAGUCAGGCGCGCAGCCAGAGUUAUCUAGAAAGAGCCGAGAAAGCGUCCUCUGUUGGAGAGAGACAGAGACAGCCAGCGAGAGAGGGAACACAAGCAUGGGGAGUGGGAGAGGAAGAAGCAGGCUCACAGCAGAGGAGCCUGACGUGGGACUCGAUCCCAUAACGCCGGGAUCACGCCCUGAGCCGAAGGCAGACGUGCAACCGCUGUGCCACCCAGGCGCCCCAAGCCACAGUAUGUUUGUAUGCAUGAAGGUAAAUAUAUAGAAGAAAGGCCCAGAAGGAUCUGCACCAAGAUACAACAGGGCUUCCCCGUGGAAAAGAUGGGGUACAGGUGUGCUUUACCUGGCUUCAUAUGUAGGACUUGAGUCCUUGGAGAUGAUAUACACAUUAUUUUGUUUAGUGAAAAGGAAACAGAAAAGAAGAAAAAAGAAAGAGAAGCCAAGCAAAACUUUGCUGUAAGCCCUUCAUAAUAAAAGGUUUGAUAGAUUGGUA